rnacentral:rRNA from 1 species
AAUGAACGUUGGCGGCGUGGAUUAGGCAUGCAAGUCGAGCGGUAGGGCUCCUUCGGGGGCCUGAGAGCGGCGAAAGGGAGAGUAACGCGUGGAUAUCUGCCCUCAGAUCUGGGAUAGCGGCGGGAAACUGCCGGUAAUACCGGAUAAUGUCUCCGGACCAAAGGUGUGAUUCCGUCUGAGGAUGAGUCCGCGUCCUAUUAGCUAGUUGGCGGGGUAAUGGCCCACCAAGGCUAUGAUGGGUACCGGGUGUGAGAGCAUGGCCCGGCUCACUGGGACUGAGACACUGCCCAGACACCUACGGGUGGCUGCAGUCGAGAAUCUUCGGCAAUGGGCGAAAGCCUGACCGAGCGACGCCGCGUGCGGGAUGAAGGCCCUCGGGUUGUAAACCGCUGUCAGUAGGGAGGAAAUGCAGGGGGGUUAUCCCCUUUGUUUGACCGAUCUGCAGAGGAAGUACGGGCUAAGUUCGUGCCAGCAGCCGCGGUAAUACGAACCGUACGAACGUUAUUCGGAAUCACUGGGCUUAAAGAGUGCGUAGGCGGCUUGGUAGGUUGGGUGUGAAAUCCCUCGGCUCAACCGAGGAAUUGCGCCCAAAACCACCAAGCUUGAGGGAGAUAGAGGUGAGCGGAACUGAUGGUGGAGCGGUGAAAUGCGUUGAUAUCAUCAGGAACACCGGUGGCGAAGGCGGCUCACUGGGUCUCUACUGACGCUGAGGCACGAAAGCUAGGGGAGCAAACGGGAUUAGAUACCCCGGUAGUCCUAGCUGUAAACGAUGAGCACUAGGUCGAGGAGACCCCCACAUCUUCUUGGCCGUAGCGAAAG